rfam:Schistosoma margrebowiei strain Zambia genome assembly, scaffold: SMRZ_contig0002165
GCACUGCUGAGGAGUCCCAAAAUACGACGAAAUGGCCGUCCAGUGC